rnacentral:rRNA from 1 species
AUACGGAGGGUGCAAGCGUUAAUCGGAAUUACUGGGCGUAAAGGGUUCGUAGGCGGUUAUUUAAGUCAGAUGUGAAAGCCCCGGGCUCAACCUGGGAAUUGCAUCUGAUACUGGGUAACUAGAGUUUAAGAGAGGAGUGUGGAAUUUCCGGUGUAGCGGUGAAAUGCAUAGAGAUCGGAAGGAACAUCAGUGGCGAAGGCGGCACUCUGGCUUAAAACUGACGCUGAGGAACAAAAGCGUGGGUAGCAAACAGGAUUAGAAACCCCAGUAGUCC